CGUGCCACGUUGGUCAUGAGGACCUGACUAGCUGACACAUGAUGAACAGAAACGGGGAAGAUUAUCCAUUUUAAUUGUUAAAUAUACAGUAUGUAAGAGUAAUUGCACACAUACAGUAGUGAGGUGAGUUGGGAAAGUAUCAGCCGAUAGAAAGGCGCAACGUCCAGGCUACCUACCGGCACGUUAAUACAUCAGUGUGAGGGGAGGGACUUGAGCCUUCGACUUGGUUUCUUGAAUCUAGGGACCACCGAAGUAAAAUAAUGGCUGGGGAUGUCACAGAUACCGGGACUUUGUAUUCGCCCGCAGUGGGCUUGGUGUAUGUGUUCAACUUGAUAGUUGGAACAGGUGCUUUGACAAUGCCGAAAGCAUUCAGUGGUGCAGGGUGGCUGCUUAGUCUUAUCAUGGUGGUCUUUCUGGCAUUUACAAGUUAUCUAACUGUGACAUUUGUGAUUGAGGCCAUGGCAUCAG